rnacentral:rRNA from 1 species
UACAGGGGGGGCAAGCGUUGUUCGGAAUUACUGUGCGUAAAGGGUUUGUAGGUGGCUUGCUACGUCAGACGUGAAAUCCCUCAGCUUAACUGGGGAACUGCGUCUGAUACUGGCGAGCUUGAGUGCAGGAGAGGAACGCGGAAUUCCAGGUGUAGCGGUGAAAUGCGUAGAUAUCUGGAGGAACACCGGUGGCGAAGGCGGCGUUCUGGACUGCAACUGACACUGAGAAACGAAAGCCAGGGUAGCAAACGGG